GGGGCUGUAGCUCAGUGGAAGAGCAUUUGCCUCACAUGCAUGAGGUCCUAGGUUCAACUCCUACUACUUCCA
rnacentral:tRNA from 1 species